GGGCGAUUAGCUCAGUCGGUAGAGCGCAUGCCUCACAUGCAUGAGGUCGGCGGUUCGAUCCCGUCAUCGCCCACCA
rnacentral:tRNA from 1 species